rnacentral:rRNA from 1 species
AUUGAACGCUGGCGGCAGGCUUAACACAUGCAAGUCGAACGAGUGGCGGACGGGUGAGUAAUGCUUGGGAAUCUAGCUUAUGGAGGGGGAUAACUACGGGAAACUGUAGCUAAUACCGCGUACCAUAGGAUGAGCCCAAGUGGGAUUAGGUAGUUGGUGAGGUAAAGGCUCACCAAGCCGACGAUCCCUAGCUGGUCUGAGAGGAUGAUCAACCACGCGUGGACGGAGCCACUGCCCAGACUCCUACGGGAGGCAGCAGUGGGGAAUAUUGCACAAUGGGCGCAGUCCUGAUGCAGCCAUGCCGCGGGUAUGAAGAAGGCCCUAGGUUUGUAAAGUACUUUCAGUCGGGAGGCGUUACCGACAGAAGAAGCACCGGCUAACUCCGUGCCAGCAGCCGCGGUAAUAC